GACGAACGCUGGCGGCGUGCUUAACACAUGCAAGUCGAGCGGUAAGGCCCUUCGGGGUACACGAGCGGCGAACGGGUGAGUAACACGUGGGUGACCUGCCCUCCACUUCGGGAUAAGCCUGGGAAACUGGGUCUAAUACCGGAUAGGACCAUUCCGCGCAUGUGGGGUGGUGGAAAGUUUUUUCGGUGGGGGAUGGGCCCGCGGUCUAUCAGCUUGUUGGUGGGGUGAUGGCCUACCAAGGCGACGACGGAUAGCCGGCCUGAGAGGGUGAUCGGCCACACUGGGACUGAGACACGGCCCAGACUCCUACGGGAGGCAGCAGUGGGGAAUCUUGCGCAAUGGGCGGAAGCCUGACGCAGCAACGCCGCGUGGGGGAUGACGGCCUUCGGGUUGUAAACCUCUUUCGCGAUCGACGAAGGUCCACUUUUUGUGGGUUGACGGUAGGUCGAGAAGAAGCACCGGCCAACUACGUGCCAGCAGCCGCCGUAACAC
rnacentral:rRNA from 1 species